GAGGACGAACGCUGGCGGCGUGCUUAACACAUGCAAGUCGAACGGACCGAGUUGAUAGCUUGCUAUGAUGAGGUUAGUGGCGGACGGGUGAGUAACACGUGAGUAACCUGCCCUUGAGUGGGAAUAACACACCGAAAGGUGUGCUAAUACCGCAUAACAUAACGGAAUCGCAUGUUUCUGUUAUCAAAGAUUAUUGCUCAAGGAUGGGCUCGCGGCCGAUUAGAUAGUUGGUGAGGUAACGGCUCACCAAGUCGACGAUCGGUAGCCGGACUGAGAGGUUGAACGGCCACAUUGGGACUGAGACACGGCCCAGACUCCUACGGGAGGCAGCAGUGGGGAAUAUUGCACAAUGGGGGAAACCCUGAUGCAGCGACGCCGCGUGAAGGAUGAAGGUCUUCGGAUCGUAAACUUUUGUCUUCAGGGACGAUAAUGACGGUACCUGAGGAGGAAGCCACGGCUAACUACGUG
rnacentral:rRNA from 1 species